rnacentral:piRNA from 1 species
CCUCAGUGACAGAAUCCAAUGGGAUGGGGUA